GGAAUAUUGGUCAAUGGGCGGAAGCCUGAACCAGCCAUGCCGCGUGCAGGAAGACGGCCCUACGGGUUGUAAACUGCUUUUGAGCGGGAGCAAUAAGGCGGUCGUGCACCGUCGAUGAGAGUACCGUUCGAAUAAGCAUCGGCUAACUCCGUGCCAGCAGCCGCGGUAAUACGGAGGAUGCGAGCGUUAUCCGGAUUUAUUGGGUUUAAAGGGUGCGUAGGCUGUUUGGUAAGUCAGGGGUGAAAUGCCGUCGCUCAACGUCGGAGCUGCCCUUGAUACUGCUGAGCUGGAGUACGGAUGCCGUUGGAGGAAUGAGUGGUGUAGCGGUGAAAUGCAUAGAUAUCACUCAGAACACCGAGUGCGAAGGCAUCUGACGAAUCCGUCACUGACGCUGAGGCACGAAAGCGUGGGGAUAGAACA
rnacentral:rRNA from 1 species